rnacentral:tRNA from 1 species
GCCGAGGUGGCGGAACGGCUACGCGGUUGACUGCAGAUCAACUCCAUCCCGGUUCGACUCCGGGUUUCGGCUC